UAAAGUAGAAGGUUUAACUGAGGAUGAGCGUUAUCGCGCUUUGAGCAAAAUUUCAGAUAAUCCAACGCAAAUACUCAUUUUCUUUAGUUUACCUUCUUCUGUGCGAUUGGGAUGGGUCAGAAGAUUUCUUGCUGACCAUUAAAAAAUUAUAGUUGUGUUGAUGAUAUUUUGGUAACUUUUUGUUUUUGUGAUAGUUGGAUGGUACAAUGACAUGAUAGAAUGUCAUUACAAUGUUGUAACUUUUUGAGGUUGUAAAAUUUUAUAACAUAUGGAUUAUGACAUAUAAACUAAUGAAAUCAUGUCACUUUUUGUUAAUAUAUGAAUAUUAUGUUUGGAUGUGAAAUAUGAUUCUCAAGUUAUUUAUUACUUCUUAUAUUUUACUUUUUAUUGUAGAAUAAUCAAAUUAUUUAUUUCACUUAUGAUAUUUUAGCACAUUAUGUAGUGCAGUUUAAAAAUAAUAAAGUAGAUUAUAUAUUAUUUUUAUACUAUUAUAUAUUAUGAUUUUUUAAUUUAUUUAAUAAUAAUUAUAUUAAGAAUUUUAUUAAAUUAUAUAUUAUUUUAUUAAAUUAUAUUUAGUAAUAAUCAUGUUAAAAUAUGAUUAAAUUAUUUAUUAUUUUUAUUAAAAUAUUUUUAAUAAUAAUCUUAUUAAAAUUUAAUAAUAAUAACAAUAAUCAUAUGGUAUGCUAAAUUCAUUUUUUUAUAUCGACAAUUGUGACCUAAGACAACAGGUGAAAGGCUAGAUUAAAACAAAUAUAUUAGGCAUUGAAAUGUUCUUAAUAAUAAUUUUAUAUUAAAAUUAUUAUUAAAUAUUAUUAAUAAUUAUAUUAAUAAUGUUAUUAAAAUAUAUAUUAUUUUAUUAAAUUGCAUUUAAUAAUAAUUAUGUUAAAAAAUGAUUAAAUUAUUUAUUUUUAUUUUUAUUAAAAUAUAUGUAUCAAUAAUCUUAUUAAAAUUUAAUAACAAUAAUCAUCUACCAACAAAAAUUCUGUUAAGGGUACUUUGGUCAUUUUAGCCUUUUUUCUUAUGCUAUUACAACAUCAUUCCAUUCAACCAAACACAAGAAUUCUAUUACAGCUCUAUUCCAUUCCAUUCAACCAAACAGUUGAAUUACUGAUUACAGCUCUAUUCCAUUACAGGUCUAUUCAAUUACAGCCCUAUUUCAUUACAGUGAACCAAACGUAUUGUAAGUAUGUUGUAAAUGGGUCCCACCCUUCAAUUUUUCAUUUUUAUUUCAGGUUUGAAUAUCUAAUAACAAAGGAAAUGAAAGAUUAACAAAUUUUGGCUUAUAACCCUUUAACUAUAAUCACAUAUUUUUUUUUAUAAUACUUUUUAUAUUUAAACACAUCCUUAAACUACAAUCACUUAUUUAAAUAAAUUCUUAUAAUAUUUUUUUAUCUCUUAAACUAUAAUUAAAUAAAAUUUUAAAUCUGGUUGACAUUUCUAUAGUUUUCAUAUGUUUUUAAGGUCGCAAAUUAAAUCAUGGAUUUAAAAUUUUAAAGAUAUAUUCCAAGUUGCAUCAACUAGGUAAAAAUAAUAUUAAUAUUCUAAAGUUAUAGAUGUAUUUUCCUUUCUUUUUUCUUUUUCUUUUUUUUUCCUGUGAUAAAAUUUGAAAAGAAAGAUAAAAGCAGUUUGAAUUUGUAAAACACAUUAAUUUAAUUUUAAAGAUGUUUGUAUGGAUAGGUUUUUUAAUUUUUUUUUUUUUGGUAUUGUUACUCCUAAUAGUAUCAUUUCUAAAUUCUAAUGUUCAAACAUACAUUCUCUCAUUAGAAGUACAAUAUGUCUUAUUACUACACUUAACACUUAUUAGUAAUCCUCCUAAAUUUUAAUAAAAUUGUUUACUUUUUGAUAUAAUCACAAGUGUCUCUAUUUGUUUUACAGUUCAAAACAAAUCUUGUUCGAGUCAAGUAGUAUUAAAAUAAAACCUUCCUAACAAUCACACUUUAAGAUUCAGACUUAGUUCAAAUAAUCUAAAAAUAAAUUCAUUCGACUCUUUUCAAUCACUUGCCGAUCCAAAAUGAUAAAAAAAUAUUUAAAUAUAUUUAUUUGUUUUUAAUAGUAGGUUAAAAAUAGUACCACAAAAUUAUAUUUGAUUGGAUAGAAUUUGUUGGAAAAUUAGAGGAUAUAGAAAUCUAUAUGAAAUCAAAGGGAUGGUAUAAAUUGUAUGUAUGAAAACACAGAAUAAAGUUGGAAAGGUGAAAAGGUGCUGAGUUAUCCAUUUCAUUUUCCUCUUAAAAGUAUAAUUUACACACAAGAAAGGAAUUGAUGCAAAAUAAAUAAAUAAAUGAAGAAUUACAAACAUCACAAAAUUUGCCUUGUUUAUAACCUUCCUUUUUAAUGUUAACCACAAAAUUGUUUUGUCCACUCCAUAUCUACACAAUAUCAACCUUUUUUUAGUAAACUUUGCCACCUAUAUUAUUAAUGAUUAUUUUAAUGCUUUUAGAAAAAAAUGUUCCUUGCUUUAUCUCUUUAGGUACCACAUUUAUUUAUGGUACUAGAUUAAAAAAUAUUGAAGUUAUUUGUCACUUAUAGUACUGGUUGCAGAUGGAAUAUCGUUCUCAAAUUCAAUCAAUGUUAGAGAUGGUUUAAGGAAUAUAUGGGUAAAAGUUUGACUCAUAUUUUUUAUUAAAAGUUAAAUUGAUAUUUAAAAAAUAGGUAAAUAAAUCUUUGUAUAUUAAAUUAAAGAGUAAAUUGAUCUUUUCUAUUAAAAUUUUUAUCUAUUUGUAUUGUAAAAAACUGGCGCGAUUGAUAAAAUAACUCAACAAUGACACUUGGCAUGUCUUGUGUACCUCAUUUUAAUGUACAAGGCCUAACUUUUGAUACUAGAAAUGGAUGAAAUUUUUAAUAAAAUGAUCAAUUUAAUCGAACAUACAACGGGCAAAAUGUAAUCCUCCUUUUCACUAGUAAAUAAGAAAAUUAAAUCCGCUUGAAAUCAUAUUUUUCACCUGAAGUAAUAAUGUCAAGAUAUAUAUUGAAAUGAUGAAAUUUGUGGUGUUUUAUGAUUAGCAAAAUGAGGGGUGUAAGUAAUUUGGACCACCAAAAUUUCUAUUCACAUGCUGAUUGAUGAAACUGGUAGUCUAAUCCAAUUAUUGGCUCUACCCUUUUCGAUCAUAUAUACCAACUACAUUCAGCCCUACUUAUUAUUUUUUAACAUACGGCAAAGGUAAUGAUGUGGGUAUCUUUUAUAUAAAGUUAAUUGUUGCAGACCUAUUUAACUAAUUUUCUAAAUUUAAAUGUAUACUUAAUAUUUGAAAGGGUAUUCACGAAAAUAUAAAGCUAAGCCUAUAAAAUGGGAAAGUGAUAAUUAUCAAAGGACAAAACUGAAUCUGGUUCAGUCCAUAUAAGCGUCCGGAGAGAUUAAUCAAUGAUUUAAGAAGGACUGAUUUAUCAUUUUAUCAACAGAGGUCCAUCUUUGGCGAACCAAAAUUGAACAUUUUAUCAAUAAUUUAGUAUAAAAUUUUAUUUAUUGAAUCUCUUUAACAUGAGUUAUGUUGAGUAAUUUUUUGUUAUGUUUCAUUAAAGGGGACAAUCGAAUAUUUAUAUAUAUAGUUACUGUUCUUGGAAUUAAGGUUCUUAGUAAACUCUAUACAUGCUGGACACGUGUACUAUUCUGUGCUGUUUGCUAGGCUUCGUGGUCCCUACAUGCAAACUUCUUGAAUAUAUGUGAGUUGAGACAACGAGCUCCCGUUGUUGACCUCUCCCUAUAAAACUUGCGCAUAUCCAUCCAGUAGGAUUUAGCCGGGUCGCGAGUAAACAACCCAUACCUUAUCUAAUCUCUUUUCAUAAUUUAAAAAGUUUAUUGUUAAAAACCUAUAAUACUAAUGAAAAUUUCAUCCUAAGAAAUAAAGAGAAUACGAAAAUUUAAUUCCUCCCUAAAUAAAAAUAUUUCGUAUUUUGAUUUUAUUUGAAAAUAAAUAUGUUGAUUUGCAUGAAAUUAAAUUUUCAUAUUUUAUGGUAGGUGAAAUUUUAAAAAAUUAUGUAUAUACUUUCAUCUAGCUCUAAAUAACAUCUCAAACUUUUAGGAGUUUUCUUCCCUUGAAAAAACCACUAUGAGUAAGUUUUGCGUAAUAAUAAUAAGGGACAAUCCAUAAGUCCCAUGGGACUUACCACUAAAUAUAGGCUAUUUAUUUAUUUUUUAGAUUUAAGAUUAAGAUUUUGUAUCUAAAUUAAUAUUAUAUAUAUUUUAAAAUAAGGUUGACGCCCAUGACAAUGAAUUAAAAUAAAACUGAGGUGGAAAGAUAGAUUAAUUAGUCAAAAUUCAUUUUUUCACCCCUAAAAAUUAUUGAAAACGUAUUUUAAGAAUAAAAAAAUAUAUUUGCAAUAUUCAAAUAUAAAAAGCGAAGUGGAUAAAACUUUGUACCCAGAUUUGAGUCUGGCAUCGGCGGGGACGACUUGAGCAAAGAAUUCCUUGUUGCUAAGCUUAAACUAGAAUUGACCAAUUAACAGCAGUGCCUUUGUUUUUAGAUUUUAUCAAACAUUUUGUUGGACAUGUGUAUCUUCUCCGCAUACUUUACCACUUACCAAAUGACUUGUCUUUCAAAGCUGUCGAUAUUUUGAACAAAUGUCUAUAAGUUAUCUGGUAAUGAAAAGGUUAUAUAUAGAAAAUAUUUGGAAGAGUUAAGGCUUUAAAUCACAAUUCGGAAUUUCAGACUUAUAAAAUCUCAUAUUAAACUAACAUGGUGGGAUUUAUUUUUCAGAAGAUAGUGUGGAGUCUCUGUCAUGCAGCCUGUUAAAAAGAAGCUGGGGUAUAUUUACUGUUGAGGGUAUUAAUUUUAUAUGAUUUUUUCCGAUGGUGAAAUGCAACCAACCUUGCCACCUUAAUUUGCUUUGUUAAUUGCCCGCAAAAGAGGCACUGAUGUCCACCAAAACCCCAUCUUAAAAUCAGACUUACAAAAGACUUAUAUAGGAAUAUGAUAGUAAUGCAUAAAUAUUAACCCAUAAAAAUUUAUGCAAAUAUAAUUCAAUUUCUAAUUAUCAUUAAUAUUUUUCCCCUUAAAUUUGUUUCUUCUUCAUCAUCAUAUAAUGUUUUCUAAACUGGAUCAGUGAUCAAAUCGAUUAAGUCACUAGUUCACCAGUCCGAUUAAAAAAUAUUAAAUUUUUUUAAAAAAAAUCUUGUUUAAUCAAUUUAACCCAUUUUUUAGUUGGCUCAAUCAGUCUCUACCGAUUUUCGAUCUAAUUCGUUUAAAGCCACUCUUCAGACAGAUACCCUAAUUGAUUCUCGAUUCAACCAGUUUGACCGACUAGUUCGAUACCCUAACCGAUUCUCCCACUUGCCCUAAUGGAGUAAAUGUGUCAUGUUUUACAUUUUCAUAUCAACAAUGUGUUUAUUAAAACUCUCAGUUACAAGAGUCUUAGUAAACGAAUCCAUAAGGCUAUCUUCAGAAGCUACUUUCACCACAUCUAUUAUUCCUUCAACUAAACAAAUAUUUGGACAUGUGCAAAGCAUAGUAUAUAUAAAACUUCCAACUGUCGAUGCAUAUGGAACAUUACUCAUAUACUCUUUUUCUACCGCUGUCUUAGGACAGUCAUCCAAAGAAAGAUGAAAAAUCUAAUGUAGUCGGUUGCGUGCCUGGUUUCCCAUCAGCCAUUGCAAAUCAUUCCCGUACUUUAUCGAUGUAUGUAAAUCUUUGUCCAAACUCGAUCUUAAUCAGGUCGGGUACUUUGAACAGGUCUAUUUACCACCAGUCUACCAUGUUGGUUAUUUCUCAAGAGCAUUUUUGACAAAUUUCAUUUUCUUAAAAUUAAUUUCUGUCGUGAAGAAAUUAUUAUGAUUAUUUUCUCUCUAUAUAUGUAUUGUGAUUUAAGAAAUUAUAUCUUUUAUACUCUCUAUAUGGUAUGAAUUGUCGAAACCAUUCUUUUAAAAACGGGGAUCGACUUUGUUUGAAAGUGAAAAUUAAAACGGGAGUCGCCACCAAUAUUUUAUCAGGUGUGAUCGGAUCACCUUUGUUUUAAUAAAUCAAUUUUAGUUUACUAAAACAGGGCCUUUGGUCUACGAAACUUGAGAGAAUGAGUUCGGGAGUCGGUUACGUGCGAGGAAGGAUUAGCACCCUCGACACGCCCAAAAAAUUGGUACCGAAUUGAUUAGUUAGUGUCUUAAUGUCGAAAAUUAAAAAUCGGGAAGGGACUUGAAAUACGAUCUUUUCUAUUAAUACUGAUUUUAAAAUUCUUGAAUUAGCUUAAAUCGAUUGGUUUAAAGAUUUCCUUAUCUCGAGAUAUCGGAGUAUCACAUCCCGUAAGUUAGGACACAAUACCAUGAAUUCCCGAGCACAAGGUCGUCUUUUAAUUUAAAUUGGAAAUCCAUGCAUUUCAAAACUCAAAGGGAUAUUUAGCUAUUUAGAACCAAGAAGAGAACUGAAACCCCGUAAGUUAGGGCACAAUUCUUCGAUGUUCCAAAAUGCGAAACAUUGCCUUAUUUAUUGAAAUUAGUAAAAACAUGAAUAAAAAUCUUUAAAGUAAUGAACAACAGAAUGAUAUAAAAUAGGCGGGAGACAAAAAUAAACGAGUUGGGAAUACAUUGAAACAAAUAAUAAAUAUGACAACAAUAUUAAAACAAUAACAAUGCAUGCGAUAUAUUAAACGUAAUAAUAGUAUCCAAUGUGAAAUAAAAACAACGAAUAUAUACAUAAUAAAGAUAUUAAGAGUAUGUACGUAAAAUAUAUAUAUAAAUAGUAAUAGUGUUAGAAAUAUACUAUAUAUAGUGUUUGAAGUAUAUACAUAAAAUAGUGAAAAUAUAACUAGUAAUGUUAAGAUAUAUAUAAUAUAUACAUAUGUAUAAAAUAGAUAUAAAAAAAAUGUAAAUAAUAUAGUGUAAAAAAUACAUACAUAAUAUAAUUAAAAUAUAUACAUAAGAUAACAUGUAGAAAAAAAUUUAUAUAUAAAUAAUAUAGUAUUAAAGAUAUAUACAUAAAAUAGUAUAAUAUAUAUAUACGUAAUAUAGAAUUUAGAAUAUACCUAAUAUAUUAAAAGAAUAUAUACAUAAUAUAAUAUUAAGAAAUAUAAUAAUAACAAAAAAAAGAGAGGGAGAGAGUGGGUGAUUUUCGGCCACAAGGCCGGCCACCGUCCGGUCACUGAACCGCCGCCGGCCACCGUCGGUGCCACCGUACACGGCAGCCGGACCUCAAAAAAACUUUUUCGGUAAAAAUGGGAAAGCUUCCUCCUUUUAUUUUUACUUUCGUAUAAAAAAACAAAAUAAAACUGAAAGGAAAACAAUAAGUAAACAAAGAACUUGAAACGAGAAUAGACCAAGAAACCUCUUUUGCUUUGAUAUUUGAUUAAUCUUCAAAAAAAAAACUAGCUCUCCAAAAACUAGCCUUUACAAUAACUCUUCUCCUUGAUUACUCUAAAAAAACCUCUCAAAAAUCCUUUACAAUAACUUUCUCCCCCAAAACUUCUUCCUCCCCUAAAUACAAAAUAUGAGAAGGCUUAUAUAGCCAUUUACCAAAUAUUUUUUAUUGUUUAUGUCUUUAUUUGUAGGUACAAGUGGUGGUGGAGCAAGUGUGGCUAAUGGAGUAGGUGGUGGAGCAAGUGUGGCUAGUGGAGUAGGUGGUGGAGCAAGUGUGGCUAGUGGAGUAGGUGGUGGCAAAGGUUAGGAUUUAGUUGAGAAAAGUUUAGGUUGUGGGCUAGGGUUUUUUUUUAUUUUGAUUUGGGCUUAGGGUUUGGGCCAUUGGGGUUUUGAUGUAAAUUCGGGUUUGGGUAGUUAAGAUUUUGGGUUUUGGGUUUAAUUUUGGUGGGUUAGGUAAUGUUAAAUUGGGUUUUGAUGUAAAUGGGUUAAAAUUGGCCUAUAACAGCUGCCCCUUUUUGCUUAUUAUCGUGUAACGGGAAUAAAGCAAAGACACAAAGAAAGGCCAAUUUUGCCCGGUCUUACUAAGUAUGGACUUCUUUGGUGCUCUUCUCAUCCAAGUAGUCUCUUUCCAAACCAUUGUAUCUUGUUGUCUUGAUCAAAUCCACUGCAUCUUCUGAUAUAUGCCUUGUAGCUUCGAUUUACUCCAAGGUGACUUCAAAAAGAUAAGAUCUACAGCUUCAAUCUGCUAUUCCAUCGCUUUAGUCAGAUAAAAUUUGUGGUCUUUUCUUCUGCAACUUUUAGAAAGGUAAGAUCUGAUAUCAUCGAUCAGCUCCACUGCAACUUCAAUUAGCUUCACUGUAACUUCAGGGAUAUAAAAUCUGUGUCUUCGAUUAAUUCUAGUCUUUAUUCUUUACUCGGUAUGUGAUCCUGAGCUUAACUCAUUUCUCGCAAUAUGAAUUGACUCUUUAAAACUAAACAUUAAAAACAGAAAUUGAAAAUAGCUCAGCACGUGAGCCAAGGCUCAACUCACUUCUCGCAAUAUGAGUUGAUUUUUAAAACAAAAUUUGUAAAACAGAUUUUGAAAAUACCUCGGUAUGUGACCUGAGGCUCAACUCACCUCUCGUAAUAUGAGUUGAUUUUUGCAAAGCAUAAAUUAAAAAAAAAUAAAAAUCAAUUGAACAUACCUCGGCGUGUGAUCUGAGGCUCAACUCACCUCUCGCAAUAUAAGUUGAUUUUUUUGACAAACAUAAAUUGAAAAAAAAGAAAUUGAAAAUAUCUCAGCGUGUCCUGAGGCUGAACUCACCUCUCGCAAUAUGAGUUGAUUUUUUGGAAAAAUAAAAUUUGAAAAACAGAAUUUGAAAAUACCUCAGUGUGUGAGUCAAGGCUCAACUCACCACUCGCAAUAUGAGCUGAUUUUUUUUGAAACACAGAAAUUGAAGAACAGAAAUGGAAAACACCUCAGCGUCUUGAGGUUCAACUCACCUCUCGCAAUAUGAGCUGAUUUUUUUUGAAAGACAGAAAUUGAAAAUAACUCAAUGUGUUUUGAGGCUCAACUCACCUCUCGCAAUAUGAGUUGAUUUUUGACAAACAAAAAUUGAAAUUACCUCAGCGUCUUGAGGUUCAACUCACCUAUCACAAUAUGAGUUGAUUUUUUUGAAAAACAGAAAUUGAAAAUACCUCAACGUGUCUUGAGGUUCAACUCACCUCUCGCAAUAUGAGCUGAUUUUUGACAAACAAAAAUUGAAAUUACCUCAACGUGUCCUGAGGCUCAACUCACUUAUCGUAAUAUGAGUUGAUUUUUUUGAAAAACAGAAAUUGGAAAUACCUCAACGUGUCUUGAGGCUCAACUCAUCUCUUGCAAUAUGAGUUGAGUUUUGACAAACAAAAAUUGAAAUUACCUCAGCGUGUCCUGAGGCUCAACUCACCUCUCGCAAUAUGAGUUGAUUUGAAAAGUAGAAUUUGUAAGGCAAAAAUUGAAAAACAGAAAUUGAAAAUACCUCAGCAUGCCCUGAGGCUCAACUCACCUCUCGCAAUAUGAGUUGAUUUUUGAAAAACAGAAAUUAAAAGCAGAAAUUGAAAAACAAAAAUUAAAAAUACCUCGGCGUGCCCCGAGGCUCAGCUCACCUCUCGCAAUAUGAGUUGAUUUUUGAAAAGCAUAAAUUGAAAAAACAGAAAUUGAAAAUACCUCAGCGUGUGACCUGAGGCCCAACUCACCUCUCGCAAUAUGAGUUGAUUUUUUUGAAAGAUAGAAAUAAAAACAUCAAAAUACCAAAAGAUGUCAUCUGGUGGAACUCAGGUGUCCUUUCCUUUGAUUCAAUACAGCUAUCAUCGAAAUCUCUUGUUCUGCUGAAAUACAUGUAUAUGUCAUGCAUGAUGUUAUCAUGAAAUGCACAUGUUUGCCUUAAAUGCCUUUAUGCCUACAUGAUCAUGCUAUGUGCCUUGGGCUUGCUUGUCAUAUGUCCCUUUUCGUCAUGAUUUUUGAUGAUCUGCGUUCAUUGCUUUGACUCUUGACUUUCUCUUCAGGCCCUAUACCCAUCCUCUAGCUUCACGACUAAUCUGCGUUUCUCAGAUAUCGCUCUUUUGCCCCUGGUUGAACUUUGUCCUUGCUUUGAGGCUCUUGUACUUAUCAAAUUCUUGUCCAGGUAAUGCUUAGCACUUCUUUUGUUUAGAGUAUGUCAUUUCACUAUUUAUCAUGUAAAUGAACCACAUAAUGAGAUGCAUGAAAAUGGUCAGGUAGGGACAAAAGGAUACCUCACAUUUAUUCAUUUCAAAUGUAGCAAACAAAGAAAGUUAAUCAAUGAUAGUAAAGAAAGUUAAUCAAUGAUAGUAAAAAAAAGUGUCAUAAAGAGAAAGGGGAUCGCAUUUCAACAAAUACAAAUGCUCUAGAUAUUCAAUGCAUGAACUCUUCCACAUUCCUCAAUCAAGAAUCUUUUCGAGCAUGGCUUUCUUGCGUAAGAGAUUUCGAGUUUUCAGAAAUGCUUCAAAUACUGUAGUCUCUCUGUUUGACCCACUGUUCAAAACGCCUUGCUUUUUAAGCCAGUACUUGCUUCAUUAGAACGCCCUUUAGGGUUUUCAUCCUAAUCUUUUGUGUUAAUCAAGACGUCCUUUUCAGGUUUUCACCUUGAUCCCUUUCUCUUUUUCUUUUUUCUUUUCUUUUUUUUUCUCUUUUUUUUAAGAUGCCCUUUUUCGGGUUUUCAUCUUGAUUUUCCUUUUUUAAGCAUAAUAUUUCUUCACAGCAUCUGAAUUCACUGGAUUCGGUAACUCCUUCCCAUCCAUCUCAGUGAGAAUCAAAGCUUCACCCGAGAAUGCUUUCUUUACGACAUAUGGUCCUUCCUAAUUUGGUGCCCAUUUUCCUCGUAAGUCCUUCUGUAUUGGAAGAAUCUUUCUCAACACGAGUUCUCCUUCGUGGAAUUCUCUUGGCCGUAUUUUUUUGUCAUGGGCCGCGAUCAUUAUCUUCUGGUACAUCUGUCCGUGACAAAUUGCCUUUAAACGUUUUUCUUCGAUCAGGUUUAACUGGUCAUAUCGAGCUCGAACCCAUUCUGCCUCCUCUAGUUUCGAAUCCAUUAAGACUCGUAAAGAGGGGAUCUCAACUUCGAUAGGUAGCACAGCUUCUAUUCCAUAGACCAGAGAGAAAAGAGUUGCCCCCGUAGAUGUCCGUACAGAUGUGCGAUAUGCAUACAAAGCAAAUGGUAGCUUCUCGUGCCAAUCUUUAUAUGUCUCAAUCAUUUUCCCAAUAAUCUUCUUAAUAUUCUUGUUGGCUGCUUCAACAGCUCCGUUCAUUUUCGGGCGAUAGGGUGACGAGUUAUGAUGCUUUAUUUGAAACUGCUCACAUACUUCCUUCAUCAUUUUGUUGUUCAGAUUUAAGGCGUUAUCUGAAAUGAUUCUCUCAGGCGAACCAUAUCGACAAAUGAUUUCCUUUUUCAAAAAUCUGCAAACUGCAGUCUUUGUCACAUUGGAAAACUAAAUAGCUUCUAUCCAUUUUGUGAAGUAAUCAAUAACCACAAAAAUGAACCAGUGUCCAUUAGAAGCUUUUGGGGAAAUUGGCCCUAUAACAUCCAUGCCCCACAUAGAAAAGGGCCACGAAGAAGUCAUGACAUGAAGGGGCGAAGGGGCUACAUGAAUCUUAUCGCCAUAAAUUUGACAUUUGUGGCAUUUUCUUGCAAAACUAAUGCAAUCGCUUUCCAUCGUCAGCCAGUAGUAACCGAGUCUCAUAAUCUUCCUGGCCAUAGUGAAACCAUUGGCAUGUGUCCCACAAAUUCCCUCGUGGACAUCUUCAAGUAUUUUUCUGGCUUCAACAGCAUCUACGCAUCUCAAGAGCACUUGAUCUUUUUCCUCUUUUGUACAAGAUGUUCCCAUCAAGAACAAAUCCCGCUGCCAUUCUUCUGAUUGUUCGUUUGUCAUUCUCAUUUGCUUGUUCGGGAUGCUUUUGGUUCUUGACAUAUUCUAAGAUAUCAUGGAACUAUGGCCGUCCAUCUGGCUCUUUUUCAAUGCUGAAACAAUGUGCAGGGACUUCAUAUAUGCUCAUUUGAAGAGGCAUUAUUUUUGUUUCUCUGUUUGCUUUGAACAUUGAAGCCAAAGUGACCAGGGCAUUAGCCAAUUGGUUUUCUUCUCGUGGGAGGUAAUUAAAAUUUAUUUCUUCGAAUUCUUUAAUCAGCUCUGCCACUAGAUCACUGUAUUUGACCAGUUUCGAAUCUCUCACUUCCCAAUCUCCACGGAUUUGGUAUAUCACCAAGGCUGAGUCUCCGUAUACCUUUAAAGUUUUGAUGUUUCAUCCAAUUGCUACACGAAGUCCUAUGAUACAAGCCUCAUAUUCUACUAUGUUAUUGGUACAGAAAAAGUUCAGCCUGGCAGUGAGUGGGUAAUGGUUUCCUUCUGGUGAUACUAAGACUGCUCCAAUCCCAUGCCCCAAUGCAUUCAAUGCACCAUUAAAGCUCAUCUUCCAUGAAUUUUCUUUUGAUGACUCACAUUCUUUUUCUGUAAUGCACAUCAAGUCUUCAUCUGGGAAAUCAAAUCUCAAUGGCUCGUAUUCCUCCAUUGUUCGAGUUGCUAAGAAGUCAGCUAUUGCGCUCCCUUUUAUCGACUUUUGACUCACAUAGACGAUAUCAUAUUCUGAUAGUAAGAUCUGCCAUCGUGCCAUUCUUCCUGAGAGUGCAGGUGAUUCCAUCAUGUACUUUAUUGGGUCCAACUUUGAAAUUAGCCAUGUCGUAUGAUACAGCAUAUAUUGCCUGAGUCUUCGAGCUACCCAAACCAGAGCGCAACAGUAUUUUUCUAUGGACGAAUACUUUGCCUCAUAUUCAGUGAACUUUUUACUGAGUUAGUAGAUCGCCUUUUUUUUUCCAGACUCGUCAUGUUGCCCCAGUACGCAACCCAUUGAAUUCUCGAAAACAGUCAAAUACAAUAUCAAUGGUCUUCCCGGUAUUGGUGGUACUAGCACUGAAGGACUAGACAAAUACUGUUUUAUCUUGUUAAAAGCCACUUGGCACUCCUCGUUCCAUUCUCCGGGAUUAUGUUUUCGAAUGAGUCGAAAGAUUGGGUCGCAUUGGUUGGUAAGUUGAGCGAUAAAUCGGGCAAUGUAGUUUAAUCUCCCUAAAAAUCCUCUGACUUCCUUUUGCGUGCACGGAGGUGGUAACUCUUGAAUGGCUUUUAUUUUAUCUGGAUCAACUUCAAUGCCUCUCUCGCUGACAAUGAAGCCAAGAAAUUUUCCUGAGGUAGCCCCCAACGUACAUUUGGCCGGAUUGAGCUUUAGCUGGAACUUUCUCAGUCUGUCGAACAACUUCUUCAGGUUCACUACAUGCUCUUCUUCCCCUCGGGAUUUAGCAAUCAUAUCGUCGACAUAGACCUCUAUUUCUUUAUGCAUCAUGUCAUGGAAUAAUGUCACCAUAGCCCUCUGAUAUGUUACCCCAGCAUUCUUUAACCCAAAUGGCAUCACCUUGUAGCAGAAUGUUCUCCACAUUGUUACGAAGGUAGUUUUCUCCAUAUCCUCAAGGGCCAUCUUGAUCUGAUUAUACCCCGAGAAUCCAUCCAUGAAAGAAAACAAUGAAUGUUUUGCUGUGUUAUCCACCAACGUAUCAAUGUGUGGUAAGGGAAAAUUAUCUUUGGGACUUGCUUGAUUCAAGUAACGAUAAUCUACGCACAUUCGUACUUUGCCAUCUUUCUUUAGUAUCGGAACUAUGUUGGCCACCCACUCUGGAUAUUUGGAGGUUUGUAGGAAGCCAGCAUCAAAUUGCUUCUUGACUUCCUCUUUUAUUUUCAACAACAUCUCAGGUCUCAUCCGUCUUAGCUUUUGUUGAAUGGGUUUGCAUUCUGGCUUCAAUGGGAGCUUAUGGACCACUACAUCUUCAUCCAAUCCUGGUAUAUCCUGAUAUGACCAUGCGAAUACAUCUUUGUACUCACGGAGCAAAGCAAUCAAAUUAUGCCUGGUGCCCCCUGAAAUAGAGGUCCCAAUCUUCACUUCUUGCUUCAUUUCUUCAGCUCCCAAGUUUAUUGUUUCAACAAAUUUUUGAUGAGGCAAAAUCUAUUUAUCCUCUUGUUCCACCAUUCUUAGUAAGUCAAGAGACGAGACAUAGUCUUCAGCAUUUUCUUCGGCUUCGAAUUCUCUUAAACAAACAGCCUUCUCAAAAUCGAUUUCAGGACUCGUAACGGGUUUGUUCAUGCAAUUGAUAUCUGAGCACCUGAAAGUUGAAUGGAAAAGGAAACUAUAGAGGGGCAUCCAAGUAUUGAAACCAACAAACUGAAUGUUAUGGUAUGGCAUGAGGCAAAUGUAAAGAUAGGCUAUGAAAUGAUUAUGGAAUUAGUGAUAAUGCGAAAAAUUGUGACAAAAUGCAUCUUCAUUAAUAUUCAUUUAAAUGAUAAAGAGCGAAUGCAAGCUCUUAAAAAAGAAUUCUAUUAUAUCUAAGGACAUAACAGAAUGUUAACGUUUGAGCUUUACUCUGAAGACUUAUAAACUACAAGAAGAUCCUCGGCAGUCCAAUUGUUCAACAUGAAACCUGGGGGACAAUGGCGUAUCUUUGAGACGUCUUUAUUCGCGUCAGCUCCUUUGUCAAUGACAUUUAUACUGAUAUUCUGAAAACCCUCUUCGAUCAUUAACAUUGUGCUUUAUGCACUAUACUGCCCUAGGUAUAUCAUUCCCGCAGACAUAAAUGUUCUUGACAAAUGAGGGAAUUCCAUGGGCUCCCAUUCUGGUUCUCGGCCUAAUGUUCUCGCGAUCCUUCUUUCCUGAUCUUUCUUCCACUACUUUCUUCUUUGACGCAUGUCCGACUGGAACCCUAAACCAUAUUGAGCCUUGUGGUGUACUGGCUUUAGAGCCCUGACUAUUCCUUGCAGAGAUCUCCCUAAACGUCUUCUCGCUCGAGCUCCACUUCCUAUAGUCAACUUGACACCCAUUCUAGUAUUUCUCGACAGUUUUGUCACCGAAAUUCUAUUUCUCUCAGUGACAAAAGUGGCAUUGACAAAUUCAAGGGAUCGGAAGGAACAUUCCACUGCGUCUUUGCUUACUUCAAGAUAUGACGCAUCAGCAGAGAUAGAUGCGAUAAUGUCUUCUUCUCCUUCGACAGUGACCAAACAACCAUCCAUGAUGAACUUUACUUUUUGAUGGAGAGAGGAUGAAACUGCUCCAGCAGAAUGGAUCCAAGGCCUUCUCAGAAGGCAAUUAUAUGAGGGUGUGAUGUCCAUGACUUGGAACUCGACAUUGUAAAUGUAAGGGCCCACUUCUAAAGGGAUAUCAAUCUUUCCCAUAACUUCACGCCUUGUCCCAUCGAAUGCCCUUACCGUGGAAUGACAGGGCCUUAAAUAGGACAGAUCUAUCAAAAUUCUGAAAAGCGUGGCCAAAGGCAUGAAAUUGAGUGCCGAGCCAUUAUCGAUAAGUACAUUCGGUAUUAUGUAGCCCUUGCAACGCGUCGUAACAUGUAGUGCUUUCACGGAGCCUCUACCGUUGGGUGGUAUUUCGUCAUCACUAAAAGAAAUAAAAUUAUCCGCAUUCAAGUUGUUCACCCAUCUGUCCAGCUUCUCCACGGAUAUAUUGUUUGCCACGUAAGCUUGAUUCAACAUCUUCAGCAAGGCGUUCUGGUGUGGCUCCGAAUUUAGCAGCAGAGAUAAAACCGAGAUUCGUGCUGGUUGCUUAUUCAAUUAUUCCACCACAUUGUAUUCACUGUGUUUGAUAAAUUUCAAGAACUCCUGUACUUCCUUCUUAUCCACAGGCUUUUUAGUUUCUUGCACGGGUGGAAUUUCUUGCUCUACUUCGGCCUCAUGCAUCACUGCUUUCCCUUUUUGCUUUCAGUCACUGUUCUUCUUUACUGGUUCGACCUCUUUUGAAUAACAUCUUCCACUUCGGGUAAAAUGACCUACCUCUCCAACAUCUCCAGUUAUGGCUUUGAGCUUUUUAUCUUCCGGUGUGACGAUAUUGAUGUCAUAUUUCCAUGGUACGGCUUUGUCGUCCUUGUACGGGAAAGGAGACGGUACUUCGAUUAUCAUUUUUGGUUUCACCGGCUCUUUCGUCUCGUCGUAAUAAAUUAUUAACGGUCGAUCCGCGCUAUAAGAGAGACCUGAUGACUGGUUGUCAGAGGUGCAUACUUCUCUUUCAUUGGUCUCUUCCCUCUUGUUAAGGACCUUAAUCUUCUUAUUAUCCAUCCGGUCUUGAAGCAACCUUUUAAAUUGCUCACACGACUGAAUUUCGUGUCCUACAAUUCCAUACAAAUUGCAAAAACUUUGACCUUCUUCUCUGAGAAUUCUAUCGGGGUGACAAAGCAAUCCUUUCUUAACCAGUACCUCUUAGAUUUUCUGCAGAGGCGUCCUUAUUUCUGAAACACAUCUUCUAACUUUCCAUUCGUCCUCUUUCCCCACUGUGCUCACAUUCCCUUCAGCAUGGUUAGGGAACGGGUUCCCAGUUGCGUUACUGGCACUAUCGAACCAUAGGAUACCCGCGUCAAUGAGUCCUUGAACUCUCCUCUUAAAGGCUAGGAAAUUCUCCGUGGAAUGCCCCUGGUACCCUGCGUGGUAUGCACAACUAGCGUUUGGAUCAUACCACUUUGGGUAUGGAGGUUUAAGGGGUGCCAUGUAAUGGGGAGAAAUCAGCUGUUUCUCUAGAAGUUUUGGGUACAAUUCCCUAUACAACACAGGGAUAGGAGUAAAUUGCGGUCUCUCGGGAUUAGGCCUUGCUGGUCUUGGUUCGUUUCUGGGCUGGCUUUGAGCAGGUAUCGUGUUUUGUGGGAAUGUGGUGACGAGUCUUUGGUUAUUCGUGGCGUAUACGGGGUAGGAAGGAGGUGGUGCUUGGUAGUAAGGAGUUUGAGGGGGAUAAUAGAAAUUUGGAUAUGGAUAACUUCGAGGUCGGGGUUGGUUUGGAUAUGGAUUAGGGGCAUAACGACUUCCCAUUCCCACCAUGUGGGCUUCUGGUUCUUUCUUCUUCAUGGGUGCUACCCUUCUUAAACUUUCUUGACCUUCCAUUCUACUACUCUUGACGGCGUUCUCUAUAAGCUCACCGGAUAUUACAAUAUCCGCGAAGUCCUUCGUGGCGCUUCCCACUAGUUUGUCAUAAAACGACGUCUUUAAGGUGUUGAUAAAAAGGACAGUUAUCUCUGUUUUCGUUAGUAGGGGUUCCACUUGGGCUAAGACGUCUCUCCAUCUCUACGCAUCAUUUGUAAAGUCAUCCGAUCAGGUACCAUAUCUGAUACAUACUUGUACUACUCACAGAAUUUCGACGCCAAGUCUUUUCAAGAUCGGAUCCUUUCCUUACUGAGUUGGUUGUACCAUCGAAGAGCCGAUCCUACUAGACUGUCUUGAAAACAAUGUACAAGUAGCUUAUCUUCGUUCACGUAACCGGUCAUUUUUCGGCAAAACAUGACAAGAUGUGCUUUUGGACAUCUUGUCCCAUCGUACUUUUCGAAAUCAGGCACCUUGAACUUCGGAGGCAGGAUUAGGUCAGGUACCAAACUGAGUUCUUUAGCACCUAGUACCGAGAAGACUUCAGUGCCUUCUAUUACCUUGAGUCUUUCUUCCAAAUUCCUAUACUUCUCUUGAGCCUCGUGAUCAUCUAUUUUCAACUUGGAUAUUUCGACUGGAUCAUCUAAAUCUGGAACUACAAGAUUGGCAGGGGUUGCUCCAGAAUUUGACAUAAAUGUUCCUUGCCCUAGAUGAGCAAAUGGCAUAGGUCGUUAUUCCAAGCCUGUGGAUUCCCUUUGAGUAUACCCUCUUUGUGCUACGUGGGCAUGUGGUGGAGUGAAUCCUGGGGGGUAGAGUGGAUCCUGGUCAUGAUUAAUUCUUGAUUGAGGUUCCAUACUGUCGGGGUUCUGCAUGGGCCCUUUUUCCUUUGACCAAAACUGAUAUCAUCUCCAUCAUUCUAGCCAUUUGAUCCUUUUGUUCAAGUGAUUCCUAUCAAGAUCUUACUAUCAAAUCCCUCGUUUCUUACUGUAACUUAGCCAGUUGUUCUUGUAAUUCCUUCUGGACUCUUUCCAUCCUUUCGAUUCUUUCAUUGAACUCAGCCUCCAUUGCUCUAACUUGUCGACUCGUUUUAUACGAAUGGCGUAGUUUCAGAUUUGAAGUGUUGCAACUGCGAAUUAUAUGAUUCUAACCUUAGUGAAUGAUUAUAGGAUAUGUAUAUGCAAUGAAUAGAUGAAUGGAUGCAAAAAGAGACGUUGAUUCCAAUUCAAUUUCAUUAGAAGAACUUCACUAGAAGAAAAAUUUCUUUACAUAGAACGGAUGAUUACAUAUACGACUUCGCCCUAAUGCCCAAAGUCUUAACUUUCCUAAGAAGCCAAGCUAAGCUUUGGCCUCGGUCUGAUUCUGACUCGUACUUUAAGCUCAAUAUAUCAGCCUGAACUGCCAAGGUUUGCAAGUGAUCAGCUAUCUCUCGAACCUGAGCUAUAGCUUCGCCCAUGACAUAGUCUCUAUCUCUAAUCUAGUUUUGAGAGUGGUGAAGUUGUUCUCUGUAAUGGUCGUUGUUUGUCUCAAGAAGUUCCACUCGAAUUUUGCUAUCUCGCAGUGCGGUUUCGAGUUAUUCUAUUUUCCCUUUCAACUCUUCGAUCCUGCUCAGACUAGCCUUUAGCUUAAUUAUCGAAUUAUGGCUAUGAUGUUGCUGAAGUAAUCUUUCCAAUUCAGCCACCCAAGCUUGAAACUUCUCCUUUUCAUUUUGGGUUUCUAACAAACUCUUCUUCAGAGUGUCCUCUUGUACUCGAGCAUCUUGAAAUCUUUUCUCCCAAUGGUCGGCUCUAGUCUUUUCCUCUUUAAUCUCUUGACGCCAUUGCUCCAACGUUUUACAUAAUCUGGCAGUUUUUAUUGUUAUACAAAGCUUCUUGUAAUCAGUUUUCAGACUAUCUAAAUCUUCCUCGGCCUUGUUCUUUCCUUUCCUUAACUUCUCGGCCUCUAGCUUGUGGAUAUCGACGUCUAACCCCAACUUCAUUUUAUCUUCUUUUAGCUGCUCUAUCUUCUUCCCCAACUCCGAGUUUUUUUUCUCAAAAUCUUGUUUAAUGAUCUCUAACUCGGAUGGGAUGACCCGUAAAUGGUCCUCUAUCGGUUGUGUGUUCCCUUGAUUCUGCCUAGGGAUGUUGUCGUUAACUCUCUUACCCCACCACCAUUCAUACUCGGGGGUCGUCAUCGGGCCUGCAGUGAAUCCUUUCAUUCUUCGAGUUUGGUUCCAUGCAUCUGAUAUCUCGCGAACCCUCUUUUUAUAAUUGUUGUCUUUAUAGGGGAACUCACAUUGUGCCAACCCUUGUGUCACCGGUAUAAACUGCCUUGAUCGAUACUGCCUUAACACCAUCAGUUGAGCGUAUCCAAUAGCUUCCCAUAUUCCAGCCAGAGGGACCCAGUCAAAGUCACCGCACCUAUAUAAGAUCUCGUCAGGAAUCAACCACGGAGCCCUCCAUUCAACGUCUUCGGUUCAUAAAUUUUAGAGAAUAGUUAUCCACCUCUCUUCGGAGAUGUCGUCCCGCCUCGAUGUGGCCACUAAUUCUCUUAAUAGGGAACAAUCCUUAGAGAAUACCCGAUAGGAGACCUUCUCCACCUUCCAAAAAUGACUGUGGAACCAAGCCAAAAGAAGCUGUGCGCAACCAAUAAAUCUUCCCUCCCCCGCUCUUCGGCAUGUAUUCAAGGAUCGGAAAGUUUCUGCUAGGAUUGCCGGGACAGGUGUGGUACCUUUAUCAAGUCGAUCGAAUAAAUCUGAGACGGCUUCAUCUAUGUGUCCAAGUGCUUUAGGAAAGACGAUCAAACCGUAGACACUUAAGACAAAAACAUCAACCCUUUUCUUCGAAUCCGGGUGCGCAAGAAUAAAAUCCCUCAAAUUCCUCCAAGGAAUACAUUUACUUUCCCCUUUUUGCUUGAUGCGGGUCGCAACCCAUUGCUCGCUCAUCCCCGUGAUAUUCAUCAAUUUCUUUAAAAAGGGAGGGACAUUAACAGGUCUUGAAUAGGCCCUAUCGGCCUGAAUCUUCGGGCAAUUAAGUAACGCCACGUAUUCCUCCACCGUAGGUACUAAAUCAACUCCUCAAAAAGUGAACCAACUGUAAGCGGGAUUCCAAAAUUACGCGAGGGCCCGGAACAAGUACUUGUCCACCUUUACAUCGAGUAAAUAGGGUAGGUCACCGUAGUUACAGUAAAAGAGUUGUUUGACUUCGCCAUUCCAACUAUUCCAUAUAUCCCUUAACUCUUGCAGGUUGUUCUGAGUCACACUGAUGCGAGUGAAAUCCCACAACUCCGAUUCAUAUCCCUCGAUCAAACUAUCUCCUUUCUCCUGUUGCGUUCUCCCAGACCACACUCGGACGGUCGCAUUAUCCUUCAUUCUAUCAAGAAAUCCUUUUUCCAUGCUAAACUCUUCUAAUUAGUAACCGAACGUAAAUCAACACCCUUUUAUGAUGAAAUGUCAUGCAAAAAUGAUCAAAAUACAACAAGUUAGUAUUAUAUACAAAGUAUAAAAUUCAAAGCAAAUAGUGAGUAAAUAAGCACCUAAUCAGGUAACCACUAGGGUUUGGUGUGGUUCUACCUAGGGUAGGCUCCUAGGGCUCAUUACAUGUAGUUUGGUUCUAAAGUAAAGGUACCUGAACCAGCAGAUUCCUCGAUCCUCACCCAUUAUAGGUUCAUACAGACCGAGUUCGAUUCAGGGGAAUACAUUUCCCUACGGCUAUACGGAGGUGAAAACCCCACGAAGACGCAGGUACGGAUGUAUCCCAAAAGCGAUCCACUAUCCUAUACGGAGGUGAAGACCUCAUAAAGGAGUAGUUUUUCACUUCCACUUAAGAGGGUGAAAUCGACCAAUAAUGCGAUACGAUAUGCAAAGAUACCUCAAAGAAUUAAACCACUUAAAGCAAGCAUAUUAUGAAGAGAGUUGCGAAAAUAACAGACAACAUGCAAUGCAGUAAUUUAAAAUCAAUUUUCGAUUUUUGACAAAAGACAAAAAAAUAAUCAAUUUAAGGCUCGACUCUCGAAUUCCCCAGCGGAGUCGCCAAGCUGUCGAAACCAUUCUUUUGAAAACGGGGAUCGACUUUGUUUGAAAGUGAAAAUUAAAACGGGAGUCGCCACCAAUCUUUUAUCAGGUGUGAUCGGAACACCUUUGUUUUAAUAAAUCAAUUUUAGUUUACUAAAACAGGGCCUUUGGUCUACGAAACUUGAGAGACUGAGUUCGGGAGUUGGUUACGUGCGAGGAAGGAUUAGCACCCUCGACACGCCCAAAAAUUUGGUACCGAAUUGAUUACUUAGUGUCUUAAUGUCGAAAAUUAAAAAUCAGAAAGGGACUUGAAAUACGAUCUUUUCUAUUAAUACUGAUUUUAAAAUUCUUGAAUUAGCUUAAAUCGAUUGGUUUAAAGAUUUCCUUAUCUCGAGAUAUCGGAGUAUCACAUCCCGUAAGUUAGGACACAAUACCAUGAAUUCCCGAGCACAAGGUCGUCUUUUAAUUUAAAUUGGAAAACCGUGCAUUUCAAAACUCAAAAAGGAUAUUUAGCUAUUUAGAACCAACAAGAGAACCGAAACCCCGUAAGUUAGGGCACAAUUCUUCGAUGUUCCAAAAUGCGAAACAUUGCCUUAUUUAUUGAAAUUAGUAAAAACAUGAAUAAAAAUCUUUAAAGUGAUGAACAACAGAAUGAUAUAAAAUAGGCGGGAGACAAAAAUAAACGAGUUGGAAAUACAUUGAAACAAAUAAUAAAUAUGACAACAAUAUUAAAACAAUAACAAUGCAUGCGAUAUAUUAAACGUAAUAAUAGUAUCCAAUGUGAAAUAAAAACAACGAAUAUAUACAUAAUAAAGAUAUUAAGAGUAUGUACGUAAAAUAUAUAUAUUUAUAAAUAGUAAUAGUGUUAGAAAUAUACUAUAUAUAGUGUUUGAAGUAUAUACAUAAAAUAGUGAAAAUAUAACUAGUAAUGUUAAGAUAUAUAUAAUAUAUACAUAUGUAUAAAAUAGAUAUAAAAAAAUGUAAAUAAUAUAGUGUAAAAAAUACAUACAUAAUAUAAUUAAAAUAUAUACAUAAGAUAACAUGUAGAAAAAAAAAUAUAUAAAUAAUAUAGUAUUAACGAUAUGUACAUAAAAUAGUAUAAUAUAUAUACGUAAUAUAGAAUUUAGAAUAUACCUAAUAUAUUAAAAGAAUAUAUACAUAAUAUAAUAUUAAGAAAUAUAAUAAUAACAAAAAAAAGAGAGGGAGAGAGUGGGUGAUUUCCGGCCACAAGGCCGGCCACCGUCCGGUCACUGGACCGCCACCGGCCAUCGUCGGUGCCACCGUACACGGCAGCCGGACCUCAAAAAAAAAAUUUCGAUAAAAAUGGGAAAGCUUUCUCCUUUUAUUUUUACUUUCGUAUAAAAGAAACAAAAUAAAACUGAAAGGAAAACAAUAAGCAAACAAAGAACUUGAAACGAGAAUAGACCAAGAAACCUCUUUUGCUUUGAUAUUUGAUUAAUCUUAAAAAAAAAACUAGCCUCUCCAAAAACUAGCCUUUACAAUAACUCUUCUCCUUGAUUACUCUCAAAAAACCUCUCAAAAAUCCUUUACAAUAACUUUCUCCCCCAAAACUUCUUCCUCCCCUCAAUACAAAAUUUGAGAAGGCUUAUAUAGCCAUUUACCAAAUAUUUUUUAUUGUUUAUGUCUUUAUUUGUAGGUACAAGUGGUGGUGGAGCAAGUGUGGCUAAUGGAGUAGGUGGUGGAGCAAGUGUGGCUAGUGGAGUUGGUGGUGGCAAAGACUAGGAUUUAGUUGAGAAAAGUUUAGGUUGUGGGCUAGGGUUUUUUUAUUUUGAUUUGGGCUUAGGGUUUGGGCCAUUGGGGUUUUGAUGUAAAUUGGGCUUUGGGUAGUUAAGAUUUUGGGUUUUGGGUUUAAUUUUGGUGGGUUAGGUAAGGUUAAAUUGGGUUUUGACGUAAAUGGAUUAAAAUUGGCCUACAACAUGAAUAUUUAGAGUCUGGAGCAAGAAUGAAAAUCUUAAAAUUUGAAGUUUUCUAGAUUUCUUUUCUAAGUUGUCUUUUCUCCUUUGAGUUUGUUUUGUUAGUUUUCCUGCACAUUUUAAGUUUUUAUGGGUUUGUUUUGAAUUAAGAUUGAAAUUGAUUUUAAUUUUGAAAAAGAAGAAAAAUAAAAAAAUUUUCACAUUAGCAUAUUAGGUGUAAGAAAACAAUCCAUGUCAGCAUUUAAUUAGAGAUGUAGGCUCUGUUUAUUUUAUUGAAAAUAGUUUUUAGAAAAAAAAGAUUUAUUUUUUUUGAAAAUUUAAUAUUUUUUUGGCGUUUGGAUGAAUCUGUGUAAAAUAUUCAGAUUUCCUGAAAAUAUUUCAUAAAAGUUGUUUUCCGUGAAAUAAACAAACAUUUUGUUAUCUUUUCAUUGUUUAAUUAAGUUUAUUUUAUAUUUAUAAAUUUAUAUUUUACAUUGUUUUUGUAAAACAAACACGAUAUAAAUAUAUAUAUUUUUAUAAAAUAUUAUAGUGCAAUUUUUUUUAACAAUCAAAAUUUAAUUUAUAAUAAAAAAUAUUUUGUAAUAAUCGAUGUCAUAUAUAAACUUAAUAAUAAAUAAUACUUAAUUAAAAUUUAAUUUAAAUUGCAUAUAUGAGAAUACAUAUUGACACAUUAGAGUUGUAAGGGAUAAAUGAAGCUAAGCAUUAUUUAAACAAAUACUCAUUUUAAUAUAAUUAAUAUGUCAUAAGUCUUUGUACUCUUCGUAAAUUUAAAAUUUACACUACGUUUGGUUGGAUGGAAUUGUUAUUCUAUUCCACCCAAAUUCCGCGCGCUACAGUAAAGCAGCUGUUUGGUUCACCGUUUAGGUGAUUCCACGGAAUUGCUAUUACAGUCUCAUUCCCUCAGCUCACCGUUUAGGUAUUCAGGGGUUGGGGGUUUGAAUACCUAUUCAACACCACACUGUUUAGGUUUUUGGACCAAAAUAGUCUGCCUCUCUUCUUCCCAAAAUUCUCUCCAGAUUUCUUCCUCAACAUUUAUCUCCAAAUCAAGUCAAGCAUUCAUUCGCCCUUCAUCUUCAUCUCCGAUUCACUUCUGUUUUCCUUGUUCUCUUCUACAUUUAGCAAAUGGGUGCUCUGAGGUUAGAUCUUUUCCUUUCUUUGGCUUUUUAUGUCCAUCUAGAGUUUUAAAGGCUUGGAUCUCUCUUUCAUUUACCUUUUCUUUUUCGGUACAUAGGAAACAAAGAGGAAUUUUGACUUUUGGUCUACAUUUCUUCCAAUACUAGCUUUUAUUCAAGGUCUACUCUCGAUUUCUUGUUUUUCUUGCCUAGAUUUUGCUUGCUUGUUCGAUUUUUUCCCCAGUUUUUCCUGCUUAAGUUAAGCUUGAUCUUGAUGACUAUCAAUUCAUUUUCUCUUAUGUUGAUUGACGAGAGCUAAAAGGAAAAAAAAAGGUAAAUUAUUUAAUAUACAUAUAUGUAUGUCUUGAACUAGAUUCUGUGCUUUCUGUUGAUUAAAAUAUUUUAAGCAUGGUUUAGAUGCUUUCUGUUGAAAAACGAUUUAAGUGUGCUUUAAGCGAGGCUAAAUAGAAAGAAAAGAUUUGUGCAGUUCGCUCAAGAGUUAUGCUGUAAGCAUAAAAAAGGUGAUGCUUGGAUAAACGGUAUCUGGGCAAAACUUUUCCAGAUAUAGGUAGUGGUUAUAUGAAGAGAAACCACUCCUCUUUGAACUGCAGCAAGAUGUAAGAGCUAAAACUCUUCAAGGAGAGUGGGCCAGCUUAUUGUCUGCUACUGUUGCCUUAAUUAGCUCACUCAAUCCUUUUAAGAGGUAAGGGCUUGGUGUCAGUCUUUAGUUUGCCCAUUAUCCAAGUACUCCCAGUACAUUUCUUUCAGAUAUUUAUUCCCUCUUGUAGAUGUAAUAUUGUGGACAUAACUUCCUUGAAUGUGAAUCCUCUACUAAUAUCCCAUGAUUACUGAGUUUGAUUUAUAUUCUUGGAGAUGUUUACAAGCAAUCAUGUUCUCGAGUGUCAAGUAAAAAUGAGUUGAUUUAUGUACUUGGAGACUUGAAAUCAGGUUUUAGAAUGGCUUAUUAAUAAUUAUUUUUGUUUUCGUGAAUGAUCGGAAAACAUUGCAUUCAGUGAUUUCAGCUGGUAUGGAUUAACCGACUUGUUUGUUUGAUGACUAAAUAUCAGGCUGUUAAAGAACCUGUGAGUAAUUCAUCCAAUAUAGCAAAUCAACCAGUUGAAAAACGUGCCAAUUCACCAAGGUAUAUAUGUUUUCCUUUUGUAUCUACUCUUGUAUUUGUAGGAUGUAUUUAGGCCCUUAGCCUUCAAAAUUAUGUAAAGUAGGGUUCACUGACCAAGUGCUGACUGAGUUCUAUCUAUUUGAGUGGCAUAUUUAAGUACAUUCAAGUAGAUAUGUCAAUUGGGUGAGUGGGAUUAGUUUUGGCUUUGGUCAAUUCGUGUUAUAAAAUUUUUUAGUCACUUCGGUUCAGGUCAAUUUCAUGUUUGGAUCAAUUUUAUGUUGGGGUCAUUCCAAGUUCAGGUUAUUUUGGGUUUGAGUCAUUCAGGUUUGAUGCUAAGGUUUUUCGAGUCAGAUUAUUUUCUACACUUGGUAGUUGUAGUAUCACUGUAAUCUGUUGUACAGCCCUUAAUCAAUAUGUUGUUUAGUUGCAUCCAUAGUUUAUUGAAAUUGUCAAACUAUCUCUUAUGUGGCUAACUGUAGAUGAAAAAUCAUUGUUUCAAUAGGCUAAUCAAUCAGAAACUAUAGUCGAGAUCAUUGUAGAAGAUGGCAAAGCAGUCAGCAUUUAUUCGGUUAGUAUUCUUUGCUACCUUGAUUCCAAAUAAUGUAUAUGGAUGGAUGGAUGGAUGGGUAUUGAAUUGUGGAUUUGAAAUAAAUUUGAUUCUUUUUCCUUUUUCCUCUUAAUUUUUUAUAAGCUUUUCUGUUUAAUGUUUUGAGUUUAUUUUAAUCAAUUUUGUAUCCUUUCGAUGUGGUGGUGUCGUCUCGGUAUGGUGUUUAGGAAUGUUUAAUGGAUUGUCCUUUGCAUUUUUGGGUUUCCAAAUUGUUAAAAAAUAUUAUAGUGGAGAUGCUCAAAUUGGGUUAAAAUAAUUAAAUUGGGUUUAAUUAUUUUUUUUAUAGUGGAGAUGCUCAAAUUGGGUUAAAAUAAUUAAAUAAAAACUAUUUUUUUUCGAAUGUGCCCCAAUAAUGAUUAAAUUUUUUUAAAUUGGUCAAAUAAGGAUUAAUGUAUUCAAAUAAUGGUUUAAUUUAGUUAAAUAAAAGCAGUUUCAAGUUAUAUUUUUACUUUUUAAAAAUAAUAUUAGGUGUAUUCAACUGUAAAAAAGUAUUUACCUACUUGGAUGUUAUAUCUAUGUUUGGGAGUCAUACGUUUAAUGGAGAAGAUGGUGAAAGAGUGUAUGGGGUUACUUUGGCUGGUAAAGCUUUUGUUAAUGACGAACAUAAUGGAUCUUUGGCUGUUUUUACUAGCGACAAGGCCAACAUUGAAGUCUGGUAAGUUAUAUAUUUUGGUAUAAUCUCAAUUUUAGUCUUCAGCGGUUACAUCUUAUUAAAAAUAAAAAUAACCCCCGAAGUUCUUAUAGCAAAUCAAUUAUCACAAUGUUGAGACUAAUACUACUUUGUUAAACCACAUUAAAUUAAAUUGUACUGUUAAGUUGGAAUCUAGUUUAUGGAUGAAUAUGAAUUAAUCAACCCUUCAAAUAAUAGUAAUGAUUUUAAAAAUCAAAGUUUGAAAUUAUGUAAUUUGGAUGUGGAUGUAUUUCAAGAUUAGAUGUUCAUUAUUAAUUUCUCUUUUAAUGUUCAAGAUAUUAUUAUUUGCUAAACAAAGAGUUGAUUUUGUUGAAUGAAAUUUGAUAAAUAUGUAUUGUUCAUUUUUCUUUGACAGUGCGUUAUUACUUCCUUUUCUUAUUUGGCUUGCUUGAUUGCUUCCUCCACUCACAGUUGAGCUUCUUGUACUCACUAAACUACUGUAAGUUCUUUAAUCAAUUAAAUUCUUUGAUUUUGUUUUACUUUUGUUGAAAUUAGUAUUGAAGAAAUGUGACCUUUUUACUAUGAUUUGAAGAUAUGUAACACUUUAAUAUCUUGCAGUAAUGGCUCGUCUGCCUUUAAUAGUACAAAGUGUGAGGCGUAAAAGAAUUGGUCUUGCAGUGACAAUAUGGUUGCGACUGUGUACAGUUGCGAGUUGGUUCUUACUUACAUUGGGUGCCAUCCAUAGCCCACAUACUUAUAAACCAAGGAUUGGAUCCUAUAUUUUAGAUUUUUAUGCAAAACGAGAUUAUGUGAAAAGACUUGUAUAUGCUAGUGACGAGACCUGUAUUGAACAAGUUAGGAUGAAGAGAACUAUAUUUUUUAAACUAUGUGAGAUGUUACAAACUUUAGGGGGAUUGAAGUCGUCAAGGAACACGCUUAUUGAUGAGCAAGUGGCAAUGUUUUUACAUAUAAUUUCUCAUCAUCUUAAAAAUCGAGUUAUCAAGCAUCACUUUAAUAGGUCUGGGAAAACCGUUAGCAGAUCAUUUCACAAUGUUUUAAAUGCUGUCAUACGCUUACAAGAUGUGCUAUUUAAAAAAGCAGAGUCAAUUACAGCUAAUUCUACAGACCCAAAGUGGAAAUGGUUCAAGGUAUUAAAGUGAGUUCUAUAUAUAGCUCGUACAUAAUUUAGUUGAGUUAGAUUUAAAUAUAGUAUCCUAACUCAAGGUUUUAUACAUGUGAUAUAGAAUUGUUUAGGUUCUUUAGAUGGAACCUACAUCAAGAUUAGGGUUCCAACAGUUGAUAAAUCUAGAUAUCGAAUGCGAAAAGGUGACAUAGCAACAAAUAUGUUAGGUGUUUGUACACCUGAUAUGCAAUUUGUUUAUGCUCUUCCUGGUUGGGAAGGUUCUAUUGCUGAUGGUAGGGUUCUUCGAGAUGCCAUUAGUAGGAGACAUGGAUUAAAAGUUCCUCAUGGUAAAGUGCAAAAUUAGAAGACUUUGAAUAAAUCUUUAAGAUCAUACUUUUUUGGGAAAUUAAUCAUGACAAAUAGUUUUUUUUAUAGGUUGUUAUUAUCUAGAUGAUGCUGGAUACACAAAUUGUGAGGGAUUUCUUGCACCUUUUAGAGGACAAAGAUAUCAUUUGAAUGAGUGGCGUCAGGGUUACCAGCCAAGUACUCUGGAAGAAUUUUUCAAUAUGAAACAUGCUUCAGCGCGUAAUGUUAUUGAAAGAUGUUUUGGGUUAUUAAAACUUAGAUGGGGAAUACUUAGGAGUCCAUCGUUUCAUCCUGUGAGGGUGCACAAUAGAAUCAUUAUUGCCUGUUGUUUGCUCCAUAAUUUUAUUCAAACCUAUAUGAGUCUUGAAUCUAUUGAAGCAGAGUUGGGAGAAUGAUUACCUAGUAAUGUGAUAGAUGACGAUGAUUCAAAUAUCGUAAAUAUUCAUCCAUCAGAUGCAUGGCUACUUGGAGGAUGGAACUAGCCAAUCAAAUGUUCGAUGAAUGGCAAGCAUCUAGAAAUUAGUUAGGUUUAGGGUAAAAGUAGUAAACGUUAAUUCGUUUAUGUUAUUUCAUGAAUCUAGUUUAUGAAACUUUGGUGGUGUUUGAAUUAUUUUUUUGUAUUGUACUAGACUUGUUGAAUUAUAAAUUAUUUUGUAUUGAUUCAUCAUGUGUUAUAAUUUUAUAAAGUGUUCACUUUUUUAUUCAUAAUAUUGAACUUAUGUUUAAUUUUUUUUCCUUAAGAUAAUUAUGUCAAGUUUUUCACAAGCAUGUGUUUCUUCCCAAAAUUCUCGAGGAACCAAAAGGAAAUGGCUUCCAGAAGAAGAUGCUGCGUUGGUUGCCUGUAUGGUCGACUUGCACAAUGUUGGAACCUUUAAUGCUGAUACGGGAUUUAAAGCCGGUUAUUUAAAUGAGUUGGAAAAAAUGUUAGAAAAAGUUUUACCCGAUGCCAAGUUGAAGGCUAAACCUAAUCUUGAAUCGAGGAUUAGGACAUUGAAAAGGGAUUGGUCAAUCGUUUAUGACAUGCUCAGCGGAAAAAACAAUAGCGGUUUUGGUUGGGAUGAGAAUAGGCAGCUUGUUGUUGCUGAAGAUGCGGUGUGGAACUCAUAUAUAAAAGUAAGAAUUAUUUCAAGUCUUUAUUAUCUUAAUUUGACCAAACUUAUAUCUAAUAUGAAUUCUUCUUUUUUUUUCAGAGUCAUAAAGAAGCCGCUCAAUUCAAACAUCGUAGUUUCCCUUAUUAUGACCAACUUACAGCCAUCUACAGAAAAGAUCGAGCCACUGGGAAAGAUGCUCAAACAGCCGCUGAUAUUAUUGAAGAAAUAGAUGCUGAGGAUGUAGCUACUACAAAUACUCAUGAAGAAAGAAAUGAUUUUCAUGGAUGCGAAGCUGAUGUUUCUUUGGAUGACAUGAAUCUUUCAGGCACACAACAGCAACCAGCUAUAAACCAAGGUGAUUCCACAUUUUCAAAGAAGAAGAAAAAGAUUUCUGAUGCAAGUGAUCAUAUUUCAUCUACUUCAUUUAAUGAUGCUGCCACUUUAUUAGCGGAAAAGAUCGAGACCGUUGGCGUUGAAAUCAGUAGGAGUAUUGCUUCCGAGGUGCUAAUUCAACAAAGGUCAGAAAUGACACUUCAAGAAAGUGCUCUAAAAUUAUAUCCAACAUUAUGUGAAGUAGAAGGUUUAACUGAGGAUGAGCGCUAUUGCGCUUUGAGCAAAAUUCCAGAUAAUCCAACGCAAAUACUCAUUUUCUUUAGUUUACCUUCUUCUGUGCGAUUGGGAUGGGUCAGAAGAUUUCUUACUGACCAUUAAAAAAUUAUAGUUGUGUUGAUGAUAUUUUGGUAACUUUUUGUGUUUGUAAUAGUUGGAUGGUAUAAUGACAUGAUAGAAUGUCAUUACAAUGUUGUAACUUUUUGAGGUUGUAAAAUUUUAUAACAUAUGGAUUAUGACAUAUAAACUAAUGAAAUCAUGUCACUUUUUGUUAAUAUAUGAAUAUUAU
rnacentral:lncRNA from 1 species